rnacentral:rRNA from 1 species
UGGCCUGAAACUGACUCUGAGGUACGAAAGCCAGGGGAGCAAAUGGGAUUAGAUACCCCAGUAGUCCUGGCCGUAAACGAUGGAUACUAGGUGUCGCGGGUAUCGACCCCUGCGUUGCUGCAGCUAACGCAAUAAGUAUCCCGCCUGGGGAGUACGCACGCAAGUGUGAAACUCAAAGGAAUUGACGGGGACCCGCACAAGCGGUGGAACAUGUGGUUUAAUUCGAAGCAACGCGAAGAACCUUACCAGGGCUUGACAUCCUGAGAAUCCUGCAGAGAUGCAGGAGUGCCUUCGGGAACUCAGAGACAGCUGGUGCACGGUUGUCGUCAGCUCGUGUCGUGAGAUGUUGGGUUAAGUCCCGCAACGAGCGCAACCCACGUUGUUAGUUGCCUGCAAGAACCUGUUCUUGUAGUGCUCUCUAGCGAGACUGCCGGUGAUAAACCGGCGCCAAGGUGUGGACGACGUCAAAUCAUCAUGCCCCUUAUGUCAUGGGCUACACACGUGUUACAAUGGGUAGGACAGCGAGCAGCCAACCAGCGAUGGUGAGCAAAUCUCUUAAACCUACUCUCAGUUCGGAUCGCAGUCUGCAACCCGACUGCGUGAAGUCGGAAUCGCUAGUAACCGUAGAUCAGCAUCCUGCGCUGAAUACGUUCCCGGGUCUUGUACACACUGCCCGUCACACCAUGGAAGCUGACCACGCCCGAAGUCG